UUUUCACUGUGCCCAUCACAUGCCUUGGCUGGGCACUGCUUGGGGCCAGGAAUCUGCUUCUUCCCUUCCUUGACUGCUCAGAAAAAUGAGUCAGCAUUUAUGAGGGUAGCCAGGAAUUUGUCCUGAAGAGCUGGGAUUGUGCUCCUGACUUCAUUCCCCACUGCCCCCCUUGCUCCCUGCCCAAAGUGGUGCCUCCCAAAUCCGUAUCACCAGAUCCUUUCCAUCACCCAGGUGGCACCUGGAGCCACCGAAGGGACCUGCCUGACACGAGGGUGCUGAGCACCCCCUCCCCUUGGGCGUGAACCCCGACCAUCCCCUGGCUUUGCUCCUCUCCUGGCAGCGUUUAAUCUUGACAAGGAGUGAGGAGAACGCCUGUCUAAAGCCCAGAUAAGUGAAAUUCCCUGAGCUGCUCUGGGCUGUGGCUGUGGGAGGAGCUGGGAUGAGCUUUGUUCUUGAUGAGGGUGUCCUGGCCACUGCUCACUUCCCGUCCCCUUUGCUGGCAGCCCAGUAAUAUCCUUAUGUUAUUCCUGAUUAUUUUUUCUUUUUCUGGAUGGAAAUAACGCUGUCAUGUUCUUCCAUCCUCCCUUUGCUGGCAGACAGGGAGAACAAUUGGCUUUUUCAAUUUCCUGCUCCUGGGCUUUUUUCCAUGAUGCCUCAACGAGAACUGUUCGGGGUUUGAGGUUCACUGCUCAGGCUCUGCAAACAUCCGUCUUCUCCCAUUAUGAUCCAGCCUAUUUCAGGGACAGCCCUUACCCUCCUGUCCUUGGUGUUAACUACCUGCUUGACAUCUUUAAUAAGACUAAUUAAAUAAUGUAUUGAACGUUCUGGCCUUGGCAUUGCUGAAAUCUUUCUCUAAAGAAUCAACAUGUUCCCCUGGUUUUCCUCUUAUCGUUGACUCUGGCAAGUUGCUCUUGCUGUACUUUGCCUUGGAAUAUAUUUUUUAUUAUUUUGCAAUUAAAAAAAAAAUUUAUCCUUUCAUGUUUGUGCAAUUGUACUUUUCAAUGCUCUCGAUUCUGCUACGUGCUCAUAAAAAAUUAUAUGUAAAUGUAUGCAUGAAACCUUCUGAAUUAGUGAUAUCAUGAUAGCUCCCAUGAUUUUUUUAAAAUAAUUUUUUUCCCCAUAACUUUUCCAGCAUAUUUUUGCUAAAGUGCAUGAUUCCUUAGUAGAUCAAAUCAUAUUUUCUCUUUUUUUUCCUUUUCCUUUCCUUUCUGAGCACCCUGUACCCUCUUGGUAUCCUACAAUAAUCAGCAGAGAGCUCAAAAUGCAUAAGAAAAUACCAACAUUCGUGUAAAAAGGAAAUUUAAUUAUAAUCAGAGCUUAGUUUUGGCUCUGCUUGAGAUUGUUUUUAAGGGCAGAAGCGGACUUUGUAAUUGGGGAAGUAUGAAGUGUAUUGCUUCUCAAAUGAGCUCCAGUAAUUAAAUAAGAAUUUCUAAAGAGCAGCAUCAUGCUGCCUCACUUCAAUGAAUUUUUACAACGAUACAAGAACAGCUCUCUGAUGGUUUUGACCAGUUCUUGCUAGAAUAGAUCAGUAUUAUAUUUAUGGCUUUAAAUGGUAAGAGCAAAUGUUGGUUUGUGCUGGGAGGUUUCUGCAGUUUUGUUGUACGUGCUGGCUGCAAACCUCGGGAUAAAUUCUCAGCGUUGACUUGCACUGUGACGAAAUACAACACUUAAAUUUGGUUUUUAAAGUCCCAAGAAAUAGUGUGAAACUUUUGUGCCAGGGAUUUGGAAGGUAAUCACAGGUUUGGGUUGGAAGAGAUGUUAAAGCUCCCUGAACCGUGGGCAGGGACACCUUCCAUGGACCAGGUUGGUUCAAGCCCCAUCCAGCCUGGCCUUGGACUCUUCCAGGGAUGCUCUUGAGGAUCAAGUGCCUGACAGUUUUAAUUUAUAAACACAGGAUCAUAGCUGUGAUGGUGCAGUCAGAAACAACAUGUUCUGAUGGUGAUUCCUUGGCUUUGGAUUGAAGUAAGGCCAGCAAACCCAGCUCUCUGAUGGGAGAGCUUGAAGCAAACAACAGGAGGGGUUUGUUGUCCUUGAGCCAAAACACAGGGAAAAAAACCAAUGACAGUGGAUUUAGAAUGAAACUUCUCCUAACUUUGAACUGUGAUCUUACCAACGAAUUCUCAGUUCAGCUGCUGUCUCCUCAGCCUCCCUAAAUUCCAUUUUGCAGGGGCUCUAUUUGUGAUCCUGCCCUGCUUUGCCCCUGCUGCUGUUCCAAAGGAGUGACCCAGCUGUCCCCUCGGAAGCUCCAACACUGUGGGAUCAGAAAUCUUUUCAAUGAAUUGAAAAGGUGGGGAAAAAAUAAAAAUCCAUGCCAAGUGCUCCAUGAUCUGCAUUUCAGGUUUUAGCCUUUUCCAGCUUCUGAGCACAAAUGUAUGAGAUGAUUUUAAUGAAGAUGUAUAGAGCAAGAGUCCCUAUUUCAGCAGUUCUGCUGUCGCCCAGGUAAUUAGCUCAGACACAGAGCUACUGCUGCCUUUGCUCCUGGCAGUGGGGAGGAAAUCCGAGGGGGCCUGCUGUUGUCAUGGGGAUGCUGAGGGUCAGCACCUCAGUGCCAGCAGGACAAGGCUCUUUUCUGGAGCACCAGUGGAGCUGCAAAGGUGUGGGAAAGCCCAUGCUGCUCCUUUAGCCUUUCAAGGUGUUUUCCUGUCUCACAGUUUCAUCCACGCUGAGACAAAAUGGCCAAACAACAGGGUAUUGUCUUCCCCUGCCUUGCUUAGGAAAAUGGUGAAGCUGUUGUGAAAAUGGAGUUUGAUUUUGUCACUCACUUAAAGCCCAAGUCACUCACAAAAACCAUGACCUGUAAUCCUUGCUUCAAGGACUGGGCAACAUAUGGUAGCAAUCCUGCUGAUUUUAACUCAAUUAUUUCCAGCUAAAUGAGGGAGGCUGUGCCAGAAACCUUACAAGGAGCUGACCUCCGUGGGUUUUGUUGCCCUUUUUGGCAGUCCCUACAAUACCCUGUAUGGUUUGAGACUCUUGGAAAUGCCAGCAGGAGAUUUAGGUGGAGAAUCCUCAGUUAGAGAGACCUGGCAUCAACUGGUUCAGCCAUUUGUUCCUGCACGAUGAAGGUUUUGGAGUGGGAUGUGUGUUGGUGCUGCUCACACCCUGCUGGUGCCUCCCCUGGAGUUGGUGUGUUAAAAGCAGGUUGAUUUCACUAUCACCACAAAGUUGGAGUUGGAAAGAACGGAUCCAUUGACACCUCCCAGAUCCUGGCACUAAAGAGGAUGAAAGCUGUGACGUGCUGGUACAGGAUUGAAAUUCAGGCAGGAAAACACCCAGGCUCAACACCAGGUAUUGGCAGUGCCCUGUGACAGGAGAGAAAUGCCUCCAGUGCCAGAGAUAAACAGGAGUGGAAAGAAUUUUAUCACUGAAAUGCUUCACUGGAGAUUCCUUGGCUUUCACAGAAUUCUAAGUGCUGACAUCCCCCUGGGCAUGGAUCACUGGGAGAGCAUCCACACCUCUUCAGUCCUAGGAAAUGCAGUGGAAAAGCUGUUUGGAAUAGCAGCCUGGAAAAUGCCAACCUUAAGCUGUGCUUCAAUCCCCCAAAGCCUCUGCAAUCCAAACCAGGAAAAGGAUGACAACUGAUGUAUUAAUCUGUAGGAGAGUCUGCUGAUUUUAUUUGAAGACUACAUGAAAUUAUUCAAGCUUCAAGCAAACAUUUCCUUCAUGCUUUUUUUGGAAGAAAAUCAGCAAAUUUUCUUUUUCAAGCAAGCCUUGCUUGUCUUUCACAGGAAGGAUGUUGGAAAAAAAACAAGUACAAGAACAGAGGCUGAUGAGGAUGAAGACAAGAAGAAAAGCACCUUUUUUUUUUUUUUUUUGAAGAGGAAUCUCCUAAUUUUGGAGAUAAACAGUUAUUUUGCUUGUAACUUAUACAAGGGGCGUUAUGCAGGGGUAUGCUUUGACACAUCAAAAUUAGAUAAAAAGCCAAAAAAAUAGGAUGUUUCAGACCAAAAUUUUUGAGGAUGAUGGAAGACAAGAUUUGAUGUUAAAAGAAAACAUUUAAGUUGCUUCCAAUUUGAACCAUUUGUCUGUUAACCUGACAGAAAUUGGAUUUUAAGUGAAGUCUUGCUUCCUCAAGUUUGCUUUCCCCAUCCCCCAGUUAGGAAAUGAACCAUCAGGUGAUGGGCAAAGAGGAAAUGGAAUUUCCCUGCUCCAUCAUCUGAAUCAUGAAAAUGAAUUAAAAUUGAAGGUGAUUUUGCUAUGUGGGGUUAAUUCUGUAUGAGAUAUUUGAAGACUGAGCAGCAGUAAAAAGAACAUGGAGGGAAAAGCAUUUUUCAUACACCUUCAAUCUAGAAUCCAAUUCCAAAGUGUUCUCCCUUGAUUUCAGUCUCUAAAGCUGUCAGAAAUCACACCUGAAUUGGGCCCAGUGCUGUUGGGUUUAUUAUUCUGAUAUGAAAACAGGAAAUGGCCAAACAGGUGCAUUUUUCCAAGGAAUUGCCAUUCUUUGCCUGUUCCCGGCCAUGCCAGCCAGGAGCAGAGGUGCAAUCCCCUUCUCCCACCUCCCAGCCCAGUUGGGGCCAUGGCAGAGAGUUUCUUCUCAGAGUUUUAAAAGUGCCUAGAAGAGAAAUAGAUGAACUUGUUCCACUUUUGGUACAUUUUUACAAGCACACGAAGAAGAAACUGGCUUUUGGGUGUUCUUGUAAAUAUUUUACUGGAAAGUGGCCUCACGAGGGACUCUCUCUUUUGUUGGAGCCAGAUUCCUCAGAAAUAGUGCUUUUAAUAAAAAUUGCUUUGGGAUCCCAUCAACUCGUCCUAGUUUCCAGCUCUGCAGCAAUGUGAGGUAUUUCUUAGAGUAUGUGCUUUUUUUGGGAGCCAUUUAUGGUAAUGCAGGAACCUCUAGACCGGUUCCUAAUUUUUACAUAAUUAAAAUUUCAUUAAAAAAAAGGAAGAUGAUUAGAAGCCUUAUUAUGUAAGUUGGAUUUCUGGCUAACUUGCUAAACAGCUUGUAUUUGUAUGAGUAGGCUGUGUCACAUCUGAUUUGCAGAUAGCUCCUUACCUGAUCUGCAGCCCUCCAAAGGAGUGAAGAAACUUUCUUUUGGAUUUAAAGGGCUCUUGGUGGGACCUUAAAUCCCUUCAUCCCCCUGUGGAAACAGAGGCUGGCUCUGAUGUGGGAAGCAGCUUUUUGCCCAGAGAAAUUGUGUAUGCUCCAUCCCUGG